rnacentral:tRNA from 1 species
GCCGACGUAGCUCAAUUGGCAGAGCUCCUGAUUUGUAAUCAGGUGGUUAAGGGUUCAAGUCCCCUCGUCGGCUCCA